rnacentral:rRNA from 1 species
AUUGAACGCUGGCGGCAUGCCUUACACAUGCAAGUCGAACGGUAACGGGCCUUCGGGUGCCGACGAGUGGCGCACGGGUGAGUAAUACAUCGGAACGUGCCCGAUCGUGGGGGAUAACGAGGCGAAAGCUUUGCUAAUACCGCAUACGAACUACGGUUGAAAGCAGGGGACCGCAAGGCCUUGCUCGGACGGUGCGGCCGAUGGCAGAUUAGGUAGUUGGUGGGAUAAAAGCUUACCAAGCCGACGAGCUGUAGCUGGUCUGAGAGGAUGAUCAGCCACACUGGGACUGGGACACGGCCCAGACUCCUACGGGAGGCAGCAGUGGGGAAUUUUGGACAAUGGGCGCAAGCCUGAUCCAGCCAUGCCGCGUGCAGGAUGAAGGCCUUCGGGUUGUAAACUGCUUUUGUACGGAACGAAAAGCCUUCUUUUAAUACAGGAGGGUCAUGACGGUACCGUAAGAAUAAGCACCGGCUAACUACGUG